ACAAAAACAGAAAUAAUUUCUAUUUUACUUGAAGAUUGCUGACAAAUUCUGUUCAAAACUCCUUCCCUUUAUAACACAACUGUUCUCUGCUGCAGCCUACAGAACCAGCCUCCUUCCACUCCCUAGUCUUCCUGCCUUUGCCCUUGGCUUUCUCCAGGACAAGCACUGUUUCAUCCUAUGGCAUCUGUGCUCCAAGUCCUGCCUGUUUCUCAGGAUGGACAGUGCUGAGAGCAGCAUCAGAGUGAACGAAGACGGCAGGGGCACCUUGUGCUUAUAAUGUGUUCAUUCAGCAGAACAUGCCACCCCCAUGCACCCCAGCCUAUUUCUCCAGUGUGUAUCCUGCCUGGCCAGCACAGGGAGCACAUUUGAUAUACUGCCUAGUGAGGUAAUUUCCAAGCUGUCAAAAAGAUAUUCUCUUUUAUUGAAAAAUUUCCACGGAAAAUCAGGCAGGAAAUGAUCUAAAUUUGUAAUGCAUGUUGAGAAAACAGACUCCUACAAAGUAGGACAGAAAAGAAAACUAGAAAAGUGCUGAGUAAGUACUUCUGAACUGUGAAGAGCAUGACUUAAAUAAAGCUCUAAAAGUAAAA